rnacentral:rRNA from 1 species
AUUGAACGCUGGCGGCAGGCUUAACACAUGCAAGUCGAGCGAGCGGCGGACGGGUGAGUAAUGUCUGGGAAACUGCCUGAUGGAGGGGGCUAACUACUGGAAACGGUAGCUAAUACCGCAUACCAUCAGAUGUGCCCAUGUGGGAUUAGCUAGUAGUUGGGGUAAUGGCUCACCUAGGCGACGAUCCCUCACUGGUCUGAGAGGAUGACAGGCCACUCUGGAACUGAGACACGGUCCAGACUCCUCCGGGAGGCAGCAGUGGGGAAUUUUGCACAAUGGGCGAAAGCCUGAUGCAGCCAUGCCGCGUGGGUGAAUAAGGCCUUCGGGUUGUAAAGCACGUUCAGCGAGGAGGCGUUACUCGCAGAAGAAGCACCGGCUAACUCCGUGCCAGCAGCCGCGGUAAUUC